rnacentral:rRNA from 1 species
UACGAAGGGGGGCUAAGCGUUGCUCGGAAUGACUGGGCGUAAAGGGCGCGUAGGCGGAUGGCACAGUCAGAUGUGAAAUUCCCGGGCUUAACCUGGGGGCUGCAUUUGAUACGUGUUGUCUAGAGUGAGGAAGAGGGUUGUGGAAUUCCCAGUGUAGAGGUGAAAUUCGUAGAUAUUGGAAGAACACCGGUGGCGAAGGCGGCAACCUGGUCCUUGACUGACGCUGAGGCGCGAAAGCGUGGGGAGCAAACAGG